rnacentral:rRNA from 1 species
GUAGGUGGCAAGCGUUGUCCGGAAUUAUUGGGCGUAAAGCGCGCGCAGGCGGUUCUUUAAGUCUGAUGUGAAAGCCCACGGCUCAACCGUGGAGGGUCAUUGGAAACUGGAGAACUUGAGUACAGAAGAGGAAAGCGGAAUUCCACGUGUAGCGGUGAAAUGCGUAGAGAUGUGGAGGAACACCAGUGGCGAAGGCGGCUUUCUGGUCUGUAACUGACGCUGAGGCGCGAAAGCGUGGGGAGCAAACAGGGAUUAGAUGCCCUGGUAGUCCACGCCGUAAACGAUGAGUGCUAAGUGUUAGGGGGGUUUUCCGCCCCCCUUAGUGCUGCAGCUAACGCAUUAAGCACUCCGCCCUGGGAGUACGGCCGCAAGGCUG